rnacentral:lncRNA from 1 species
GCCAGUUUUGGAUAGGUAUUGGGAGAAGGAGAGGCUGUCAACCCACGCCACUAUGCUAUCUCUAACUCUGCCAUCCAGACCGAGCAAACGUACUUAAGACCUUUGUGUAAGAUCAGAAAAUCAUAAGACAGCAUUAAAAAGUACUAUACAGGAGGAGAUGGAACAAGAUGGCCAAAUAGAAGCCUCCAGCAAUCAUCUCCCCCAAAGGAAUUGAACAACUAUCAAAACAAAAUUGAACAACUAUCUAAACAAAAAAAGUACCUUCAUAAAAAGCAAAAAUCAGGCCAAAGAGCUGUACAGCAGAAAUUACAAAGGAAGCAUUUGAUGAUGUACCCAAGAGGGUGCCCCAGUCCUCCCAUAGACGAUGCAAGGCAUACCAGAGACCCAGAAAUGUCUGUGUGGCUCAGUGGGGAAAUGUGGAGAGGCCACAAAAACCUAGAGGGGACUCUGAUUGGGAAAAGGAAGCUACACAGCCUAGGGACUUUACUCCUUGAGGCAACUGGCAAGAAGUGAUACAUUAGAAGUUAAUGCCAGCGAAAUAUUCAACAAGGUUAGGUAUAACCAGCCACAUCUCAGAGGACACCAGUAUACGGCCUUUGGGGACCAAACCAACCCCUCCGAAGCAAAGAACAUCAAGAAUGUGGAAAGUGCCCUCAACUCCUGCCACAUGAGGAUGGAUGCAACCUCCUCCUGCACAUUGGAAAGAAGGAUCAGGGAGGGACCAGCCUAUGGUAGCAGGAGGCACAGCCA